UACGGAGGGUGCAAGCGUUAUCCGGAUUUACUGGGUUUAAAGGGUGCGUAGGUGGGUCUGUAAGUCCGUGGUGAAAUCUCCGAGCUUAACUCGGAAACUGCCAUUGAUACUAUAGAUCUUGAAUAUCCUGGAGGUGAGCGGAAUAUGUCAUGUAGCGGUGAAAUGCUUAGAUAUGACAUAGAACACCAAUUGCGAAGGCAGCUCACUACUGGAUCAUUGACACUGAGGCACGAAAGCGUGGGGAUCAAACAGG
rnacentral:rRNA from 1 species